UACGUAGGGUGCAAGCGUUAAUCGGAAUUAUUGGGCGUAAAGCGCGCGCAGGCGGUCCUUUAAGUCUGAUGUGAAAGCCCACGGCUCAACCGUGGAGGGUCAUUGGAAACUGGGGGACUUGAGUACAGAAGAGAAGAGUGGAAUUCCACGUGUAGCGGUGAAAUGCGUAGAGAUGUGGAGGAAUACCGAUGGCGAAGGCAGCCCCCUGGGCCAAUACUGACGCUCAUGCACGAAAGCGUGGGGAGCAAACAGG
rnacentral:rRNA from 1 species